AGUGAACGCUGGCGGUAGGCCUAACACAUGCAAGUCGAACGGCAGCACAGUAAGAGCUUGCUCUUACGGGUGGCGAGUGGCGGACGGGUGAGGAAUACAUCGGAAUCUACUUUUUCGUGGGGGAUAACGUAGGGAAACUUACGCUAAUACCGCAUACGACCUACGGGUGAAAGCAGGGGAUCUUCGGACCUUGCGCGAUUGAAUGAGCCGAUGUCGGAUUAGCUAGUUGGCGGGGGAAAGGCCCACCAAGGCGACGAUCCGUAGCUGGUCUGGGAGGCUGAUCAGCCACACUGGCACUGAGACACGGUCCCGACUCCUACGGGAGGCAGCCGUGGGGAAUAUUGGACAAUGGGCGCAAGCCUGAUCCAGCCAUACCGCGUGGGUGAAGAAGGCCUUCGGGUUGCAAAGCCCUUUUGUUGGGAAAGAAAAGCAGCAGGUUAAUACCCCGCUGUUCUGACGGUACCCAAAGAAUAAGCACCGGCUAACUUCGUG
rnacentral:rRNA from 1 species